rnacentral:rRNA from 1 species
GAUGAACGCUGGCGGCGUGCCUAAUACAUGCAAGUCGAGCGAACGGACGAGAAGCUUGCUUCUCUGAUGUUAGCGGCGGACGGGUGAGUAACACGUGGAUAACCUACCUAUAAGACUGGGAUAACUUCGGGAAACCGGAGCUAAUACCGGAUAAUAUUUUGAACCGCAUGGUUCAAAAGUGAAAGACGGUCUUGCUGUCACUUAUAGAUGGAUCCGCGCUGCAUUAGCUAGUUGGUAAGGUAACGGCUUACCAAGGCAACGAUGCAUAGCCGACCUGAGAGGGUGAUCGGCCACACUGGAACUGAGACACGGUCCAGACUCCUACGGGAGGCAGCAGUAGGGAAUCUUCCGCAAUGGGCGAAAGCCUGACGGAGCAACGCCGCGUGAGUGAUGAAGGUCUUCGGAUCGUAAAACUCUGUUAUUAGGGAAGAACAUAUGUGUAAGUAACUGUGCACAUCUUGACGGUACCUAAUCAGAAAGCCACGGCUAACUACGUGCCAGCAGCCCGGGUAAUACUUAGGUGGCAAGCGUUAUCCCGAAUUAUUGGGCGUAAAGCGCGCGUAGGCGGUUUUUUAAGUCUGAUGUGAAAGCCCACGGCUCAACCGUGGAGGGUCAUUGGAAACUGGAAAACUUGAGUGCAGAAGAGGAAAGUGGAAUUCCAUGUGUAGCGGUGAAAUGCGCAGAGAUAUGGAGGAACACCAGUGGCGAAGGCGACUUUCUGGUCUGUAACUGACGCUGAUGUGCGAAAGCGUGGGGAUCAAACAGGAUUAGAUACCCUGGUAGUCCACGCCGUAAACGAUGAGUGCUAAGUGUUAGGGGGUUUCCGCCCCUUAGUGCUGCAGCUAACGCAUUAAGCACUCCGCCUGGGGAGUACGACCGCAAGGUUGAAACUCAAAGGAAUUGACGGGGACCCGCACAAGCGGUGGAGCAUGUGGUUUAAUUCGAAGCAACGCGAAGAACCUUACCAAAUCUUGACAUCCUUUGACAACUCUAGAGAUAGAGCCUUCCCCUUCGGGGGACAAAGUGACAGGUGGUGCAUGGUUGUCGUCAGCUCGUGUCGUGAGAUGUUGGGUUAAGUCCCGCAACGAGCGCAACCCUUAAGCUUAGUUGCCAUCAUUAAGUUGGGCACUCUAAGUUGACUGCCGGUGACAAACCGGAGGAAGGUGGGGAUGACGUCAAAUCAUCAUGCCCCUUAUGAUUUGGGCUACACACGUGCUACAAUGGACAAUACAAAGGGCAGCGAAACCGCGAGGUCAAGCAAAUCCCAUAAAGUUGUUCUCAGUUCGGAUUGUAGUCUGCAACUCGACUACAUGAAGCUGGAAUCGCUAGUAAUCGUAGAUCAGCAUGCUACGGUGAAUACGUUCCCGGGUCU